AAUCCUGGAGUCUCCAGUGGACUACAUUUCCCAGACGAACUAGCGGCCAAUCCUGUUCCACCCUGCUCUGGCCUUGUAGACCUUUGGGGCCACUGAGUGUUCGCUGCUGCGUGCGCUUAUUCAAGGGUCUGAGAUCGGUCGCUGACUAGAUUCCCACGCCAGGCUGCUGGCGGACGGGGCGGUUUCGGAACCUCCAGCUUGCGGAGCCCUGCCCAGCGAGGUGUCGCCCCGGGUGCCCCAGGCCAGAGGAGGUGAGCAGCAGAGGACGGUGGGAGGCGGAUCGGGGCCUCGGGAGAAUGCUGCGUCCGGAGUGGGGAAAUGGCCCCUAAGAUCCACCUCCAGGAGACUGCACCUACUCUGGGGCAAGUGCCCAGAAAAAGGACAUGACUAUUGAGCAAAGAGAAGCAAAGUCCCAGCAUUCCGGGAAGCAAGGACUUGUCACCAGUAAACAGCAGUAACAGAUUGGAGGUCCCCACCAAGACCUACACCAAGGUAAGCACCUCUUCAUGCACCUGAAAUCUGUCUGAGUUGCAUCU
rnacentral:lncRNA from 1 species